GGAAGUAAAAGUUGUAACAAGGUCUCCGUAGGUGAACCUGCGGAGGGAUCAUUACAGAGUUCAUGCCCUACCGGGUAGAUCUCCCACCCUAUGUUAUUAUUACUUUGUUGCUUUGGCGGGCCGUUAGGCUCCGGCCCGACUACCGGCCCCGGCUGGUAAGCGCCCGCCAGAGGACCCAAAACCCUGAAUAUUAGUGUCGUCUGAGUACUAUAUAAUAGUUAAAACUUUCAACAACGGAUCUCUUGGUUCUG
rnacentral:misc_RNA from 1 species